rnacentral:sRNA from 1 species
AGAUAAAAGAAGCCCGGAACCAAUCCAAAUUGUUCCGGGCUUAGGGGAAUGGCUCAUAGGGAAUGAGCCGUGCGCUAUCGAGAAGAAGUUACCUAAAGUAAAAUCAAGUGUAGCUAAGCUGCGCUAAUUUUCAUGUUCCUUAAGUUGCGAAAAGUUAUUUACCCAAUUU